rnacentral:rRNA from 1 species
UACGAAGGGGGCGAGCGUUGUUCGGAGUUACUGGGCGUAAAGGGCGCGUAGGCGGCGCUCCAAGUUAGGCGUGAAAGCCCCGGGCUCAACCUGGGAAUUGCGCUUAAGACUGGAGUGCUCGAGUGCGGAAGAGGUGAGUGGAAUUCCCAGUGUAGAGGUGAAAUUCGUAGAUAUUCGCAAGAACACCAGUGGCGAAGGCGGCUCACUGGCCCGGUACUGACGCUGAGGUGCGAAAGCGUGGGGAGCAAACAGG